AUACUUACCUGGCAGGGGAGACACCAUGCUCAAGAAGGUGGUUUACCCAGGGUGAAGCUCAGCCAUUGCACUCUGGUUGUGCUGACCUCUGCGAAUUCCCCAGAUGUGAGAAUUUAGACUGCAAAAUUUCUUGUAGUGGGUGACUGCGUUCGCGCUUUCCUCUG